rnacentral:rRNA from 1 species
UACGGAGGAGGCAAGCGUUAUCCGGAAUUAUUGGGCGUAAAGCGUUCGUAGGUGGUUUAGUAAGUCUGCUGUUAAAGCGCGGGGCUUAACUCCGUAUCGGCAGUGGAAACUACUAGACUAGAGUGUGGUAGGGGUAGAGGGAAUUCCCAGUGUAGCGGUGAAAUGCGUAGAUAUCAGUCGGAACACCCAUGGCGAAGGCAGCUAUCUGGGCUAACACUGACGCUGAGGUGCGAAAGCGUGGGGAGCGAACGGG